UCCAAUGCCGCGAAUGAGGAAUCUUUGUGCUGCAGAUAAUUCGAAUAUGUGACUACAAUUCUUACAGAAAUGGAGAAACGUGAUGAUGAGUUGCAAUUAGUUUGUUUUUGAGACGACAGGGAUAUUGCUGCCCACAUAAACCCUAAUGUCCUGAAAACAUAUUUACAUGUUGGAGACAGCUGGGCCAAUUGGACAGUUCUCUACCGGUUGUCUUGAAAGCACCAUAAAUCCAGAGAAUGCCAGACUUUGAUGACAAAGUUUGAUGACAAAAUUUGCCCACAAAGGACCGCUGUGCCACCUUCCUGUUCAAGUGAGCACAUCACAACAAGCCUGAGGACUUCCCUAAGAUGGAGAUCUUGUGGCAGCUGACCUGCGCCUGGAACACAGGCAUCCUGCUUUACAGCCUGGCCGAGUACCCUGAGGGGUGGUGUGGCCUGGGCAUGAGCUUCCUCCGCUGCCUGGGCUCCCUGCAGGAGAGCUACCAUACACAGAUGUUAGAUCUGUACACAGGUCCUGGAUAGUCUGGACAAAGCCAAGAAGAACCUCCUCUUGGAGUAGUGAUUUGAGCUUUGCAGAGCUCUUUUACUGUCUGGCACCUGAUAUUAUUCAUGUGGUUGCUGGGAUGGUAGUUUACUAUAUGUCUCACUGGUUCUUGUAUGACUGGUCUCCAGUUUAGUCAGCUCCUCCAGGAUGUCAGUUGCAUCCUGUCCUCCCCCAAUAUUUCCCUCACUUUCCCUAUGGAGAGUUCAGAUAACCGUUUCUACUUAAUGUUUUGGUACUUCUGCACAUGAAUGGACUUUAUU